rnacentral:lncRNA from 1 species
AGAGGAAGCCAGACAGAUAAUCUAAAGGUUUUGCAAAUAGCGAAGUCUAAGAGAAGGGUUAAGAUAGGGCUUGGGUCACCAAUUUUUGACAAACUUGAAGCUGAGUUGGCUAAGGCAGCUUUGUCUUUACCUGCAAUCAAGGGAUUUGACUUGGUAGUGGAUUUGCAGGAAUGAGUUUUGAAGAGGGGUAGUACCAGCAAUAGCAUCCUGAAAUUGGAUCAAUGAGUUGUUUUCACAGGCGUUCUAAAAGAGGUGUCAAUUUUGACCCGUUUAUUGGAGAUUAAUUGGAGAUAUAAAGAAAACGGCUUAUUGGUGGAACUUGACUUAAGAUCCAAAAGGAAAAACAUUUCAUGGGAAGCUGGCUAAUGAGGUUGAAGAAAGAGACUUAAUGUUACUAUUUACAUUGCUUUGGUUGUGUUUGCUUUGUUGUUUUUAGCAUUUUGGUGAUUUGAUUUUGUAACAAACGUGUUGUAUCAAUUGGUGCGGCAGGCUUGGUGCGAUGCUAAGUUGGACGUUGUCAAGCAUCUUCACUAAAGUUUAUAUUAUAUAGUAUCGACACUAAAGUUUAUAUUAUAUACUUAAACACUUAUAAUUUGGUUCUUUUUUUUUUCUAGAGGGAACUCAAUUUACUAAGGGAAAGGUUUUGGUAACUCGAAGGAUAUGCAUCUUCAAAGGGACUCGACUAUCUUUAAAUUGUGUAUCCACUGGAUCACUAAUUUAUGUAACAUGAGACUUUGUAUUUUAUUUUAUUUGUACACUUGAUAUUUAUCUUAAUAGUUUUCUCCAACCCAGGUAGCACCCG